rnacentral:rRNA from 1 species
UACGGGGGGAGCAAGCGUUGUUCGGAUUUACUGGGCGUAAAGGGCGCGUAGGCGGCCUGUGCAAGUCAGUUGUGAAAUCUCCGAGCUUAACUCGGAACGGUCAACUGAUACUGCUCGGCUAGAGUGCGGAAGGGGCAACUGGAAUUCUUGGUGUAGCGGUGAAAUGCGUAGAUAAUCAAGAGGAACACCGUGGCGAAGGCGAGUCCCUGGACAACUCCUGACCACUGAGGCACGAAAGCUAGGGGAGCAAACAGG